CUGGGCCUCUGUGGGCAUCUUACCGGACAGUGCUGGAUUUCUUGGUUUGACUCUAACACUGUCUGGUAACGAUGUUCAAAGGUGACCCAC
rnacentral:pre_miRNA from 1 species